rnacentral:pre_miRNA from 10 species
GCUAGGACAAAUGUGGCCAACAUGUGUAGGUGUCCAAAUUGACUGGGAUGCGUUUUUCUGUUCAUAUCACAGCCAAUUUGGUCAUCUAGCUGUUUGCUCAUCAGCUUGAAGCCGAA